CGAAUUUCAAAUGGCAUGAAGUAAUUAAGCGAUGGCAUAACCACAUGACCAUGUGAUUAUUAUGUUUGGCCUUUGAAAGGAUACGGAGCAAGAUGGAGGUUAGAAAAGUGAGAAUAAUGCCAUGAGCUAGGUAUGCCAUUGCAAUGUUGAUGGAAAAACUUAAUGGGCUUGCAGGGACAUCUUUAAACAGGAUGGCAUAUGCAAUAACAUUGAAAGGGAGCCAAUGAAUACAUGCACCUAAGCAAACAAAGCUGAAGUGUUGCAAACAUUGGGGCUUCUGUAAUAGCCAUAGGCAGACUGUGUAAGCAAUGGCCGCAGAUAGACAGCUGAGGAAACCAACCAUGUAGAUGCCCAGAAUAUGGUAAAAGGGCUCAAGUCUCUUGUGCCGUCCACUUAUGAUAUCUAGUAACAUGGUACCCUGCACCCAAGUUUCAGAGAAAUAAGUAGCCGAAAGGAAACUAAAGUUGAAAGAAAUAGAUAGUACUACAAACCUGUUCAACUUUAGGAGUCUCAGACCUUUUAAGUUCAUGUUGACCAUCUUUGCAAGUUUGCAAGGCCUGAAGCUCUGAUCCGUCUGCCACAUUGCUCCCUUUCUGAAGUACAGCGUAAGGACCAACACAGGAGUUUUCCCCAAUUCUGAUUGGCUCGAAACUCAAGACACCAUUCUUGACUUCAUGGCUCUGAAUCAGGGCUCCCUCAGCUAUCACUACUCCAUCUCCGAUUGUGACCAGAUAAGGGUCUGUGAUGUCAAUGGUAUCUAGAAGAACCGACGAUCCAAUUUUUGCUCCUAGCAUCUUAAACCAGAGUCUCAAAAACACUGUACCUUUUAAAUGCACUGCCAGAACUCUAGAAGAAACCUCUUGGGCUUUGUAUAGAGUCCACCAUUUCACGAAGUCAAUGGACCAGACAGAUACAUCAGGGAUUAAACCAUAGUUGGGUUGAAGAAAUGAGUUACCAAAUACCGCAACCGUCAUGCAGGAUAAACCAAUGCAAAUCAUCCAAGCAAGAGGUGCACAUGUUAAAGAUAUCAAGUAAUCGAACCAUGGGAUCCUAUCUGUCGGUCUACUGUUCUCCAAGAUUAGAGUGGAGAAAGCAGAAACCGAAAGAUAUAUGGGGAUCAUAAGCAAGAAUGAGACAUAUACGAUACCAAGGAGUUGGAAUAGACAAAUACCCAACCGAUGAUAUGAGGAAACUUCCGUUGAGAUCUUGGCUGAACUUGUCUUGUUAAUGGGGAAACCGGAUGGAGGACUCAAUAGUUCAGGGCGAGACUUUCUUACAAGAUCUUCUGCAAAAUCUGCCAAGUUAUCAAUGCAGGUAGCUGUAAAGAUGUCAAUUGCUCCAACUGGAAUGCGAAGAAAAGCAGAAAGCUUUUGAGCUGCUAGAACCACCCCAAUUGAAUCAAUCCCAUAGUUUGCCAGGCUCUCUGUGAUGGAGAUACUUGCAAUGUGAGUUCCUGUUUGAUCAGAUAGAAGCUUCUUCAGAAAGUGAAUUAUAUCUUUCUUAGAUAUAGUGGAAUUAGAAUCUACAGUGUUGGGGAUUGUAGCUUGAACCAUGGAUAUUCUUUUCCCAUGAUGUUCUUGCACGACUUGCAGCUUGCCAUCAGUGAACUGUUUUAGACAUUCAAACCUCCUUAUCUUGCCUGAUGUUGUUUUGCAAAUGCUUCUUUCUUUGAUUAAAACAAUCGAUGCAACUGUUAUGCCAUGCUCUUCUGCCACAAGUGUUUGGACUUGUUCAAUAUCUUCUUCAGGGAGACCCUUAUUCCCUCGAACCUCUGCUAUUACAACUACUCCCACUUGGUCUGAGUUUCCCAGACUUAUUAUGCCUUUACCUGUUAAGAUCUCUUCAGGAACACCUAUCACAGCGCAACAGCCUGGUCUUAUAAGGUCAGAUGAGGACUCAACCGUCUUUUCAAUAUCUGAUGAGUAUAUGUUCCUUCCAGCAACAAUAAUGAGAUCUUUAAUCCUCCCUGUGAUGAAUAACUUUCCGUCAAUAACACGUCCCAAGUCUCCACUCCGCAAGUACAUUUUCCCAAUAUGUCCUUGAAGUUUGUUCUGGAAUGUCUUCUGGCUGAGCUCUUCCAGCCCCCAAUACCCAACACCUGCACUUGGGCAACUGAUCCAGACCUCCCCUUCCUUUGCACAUUCUACUUCUUUACCUGUCUCGGGGUCAACUAUUCUGAUAUCCACAUCAGGAUCGUUUGGGCUCACGUACCCACAACAAAUCCUUCCUUGCCAAUCCUGGAAAAUUGGUUCUCCCUUUCCAUAUGCGCUGCUUACGUAAACAGUGUUCUCAGCCAUGCCAUAACCAGGAGCUAUCACCUCUUGGGAAAGUCCAAAAGGCUGAGUUAACUCAAUAAACCUUUUGAGGGUUUUUGAUCUCACUGGUUCAGCAGCAGCCAUGAGGAAAACCAUGGAAGAAAGAUCUAGCUUCACGAGAUGUUCUCGUUUGGAUUCCAAUCUUCGUAUUAACAGUUCAAAAGCAAAGUUUGGGCCAGCACUAUGAGUACCUCGGAAUUUACUCAUGGUUUGCAGCCAUAACAAGGGGUUUUUGAUAAAUGUCACAGGAGAAAAAAGUACAGCCGAUCCCCCACUAACAAGACAUGUAAAUAUACAUCCAAUGAGCCCCAUAUCGUGGUACUGAGGUAGCCAACUUACACCAACUGUCUUUGAUGUACUCUUGUAUACGUUACGCAUUAACUUCACGUUAUGAAUUAGCCCACCAUGAGUGAUCAUGACUCCUUUAGCAUCGCCUGUUGACCCAGAUGUGAAUUGAAGAAAGCACAAAUCUUGUGGUAGAACUUGAGAUUCUUUAAACAAGCUGAUGAUGCAGCCUUUCGAGUUUUUGAUCCAAGAAUCUGUAUGCAACCACGGGAGAUUCGGCCAACAACCUGAGUAUUUUGUUUUCCCGGUUAGCAUGAUCUUGUGCUUUGCAGAAUUUGCUCUAACAUACACAUGGAGGAAUGGCAGGUACUGGUAUGAUUCGAGCUUGUAGGCACCCAAAAAACGCAUCAAGGAAUUCAAGACCAGGUACAUAGACCAGAAGAACCCGAUCUCCAGGUGUAGACUGUCUUAUCUGCAGUGAGUUCAUGAGUUCCCCAGUGUCUCAAAUAACCGUGGAUAGAUACGAUAUCAGGAAACUCCACACCUGGUGCUUCAUCUAGUUGUUUAGCAAUCCAGCUGUUCUUGUCGGAUUUCAAAGUAAACAAUCUCUGCAAAAAGAUUCACACAUGCCUCCUACAGAAUGAUGUUUCUCCAGGACAGUGAUAUUAGAGUAACCAAGCUUGCAUAGUGCAUAGGCUGCUGAUAAACCACUUGGACCUGCCCCGAUUAUCCCAAUCCUCGUGUCGGUAGGAAAACAAGGAUGAAGUUUCAAAAACCGAUCUUCCAGUGCUUUUCCUGUCUCCAUAUUUUUGUGAGUAUUCAAGAUUCCUGUUGUAAAGGUCAUGCAAAAACAUUAUGCUUUAGCUAUUUGAAUAUGAUGGUUAUGAACUUCUUAGAAAUCCUAUAACUUUCGAUAUAAACAUGUAGAUUUACAUGUUUUUAA